rnacentral:rRNA from 1 species
GACGAACGCUGGCGGCGCGCUUAACACAUGCAAGUCGAGCGAAGCGGCGGACGGGUGAGUAACACGUGAGUAACCUGCCUUAGACAUUGGGAUAGCCUCGGGAAACCGGGAUUAAUACCAAAUGGUCUAAGAUGGACUCGCGUCCCAUUAGCUAGUUGGUGAGGUAACGGCCCACCAAGGCGACGAUGUGUAGCCGGCCUGAGAGGGUGAACGGACACAUUGGAACGAAGAAACGGUCCAAACGCUACGGGAGGCAGCAGUGGGGAAUAUUGCACAAUGGAGGGAACGCUGAUGCAGCGACGCCGCGUGAACGAAGCAGGCUUUCGAGUCGUAAAGUUCUUUUAUAUGGGAAGCGGUACCAUAAGAAAAAGCCCCGGCUAACUACGUGCCAGCAGCCGCGGUAAUAC